rnacentral:lncRNA from 1 species
CUUACACCUAGAGGCUCUCGCUCUACGGCCGGAACCUUGUUGCUAGGGACCGGGCGGUUUGCGGCAACCGUGGGCACUGCUGAAUUUGAAUUGAGGGGCGAGGGAAAAGUUUUCCUCAGGUGUGGUGGGGAGAGGGAGGCGGAUGCCGGGAAACCGUAGGGACGCGGUCAGAAAGGCGACGGGCUGUCGGAGUUGGAAAGGGGACGCCUGGUUUCCCCCCAAGCGAACCGGGAUGGGAAGUGACUUCAAUGAGAUUGAACUUCAGCUGGAUUGAAAGAGAGGCUAGAAGUUCCGCUUGCCAGCAGCCUCCUUAGUAGAGCGGAAUGAGUAAUACCCACACGGUGCUUGUCUCACUUCCCCAUCCGCACCCGGCCCUCACCUGCUGUCACCUCGGCCUCCCACACCCGGUCCGCGCUCCCCGCCCUCUUCCUCGCGUAGAACCGUGGGAUCCUAGGUGGCAGGACUCAGAGCUAAGGUAUCCACAGGCCAUGAAUUCCUUCCUAAAUGAGCGGUCAUCGCCGUGCAGGACCUUAAGGCAAGAAGCAUCGGCUGACAGAUGUGAUCUCUGAACCUGAUAGAUUGCUGAUUUUAUCUUAUUUUAUCCUUGACUUGGUACAAGUUUUGGGAUUUCUGAAAAGACCAUACAGAUAACCACAAAUAUCAAGAAAGUCGUCUUCAGUAUUAAGUAGAAUUUAGAUUUAGGUUUCCUUCCUGCUUCCCACCUCCUUCGAAUAAGGAAACGUCUUUGGGACCAACUUUAUGGAAUAAAUAAGCUGAGCUGUAUUUCAAGUAAUAUAGUUAUAAAUUAACAAUGUAGCAGUUAUUGAUAGAGAAAUUGAGAAAACUGAAACGUGACCGGAGUAUUGGAAAUAACGUAGUACAUCACCUAGCACAAUGACACAUAGUAGGUGCUCAAUAAAUUUAUGCUUAUAAUUUUUGUCACUUCUAUGGCAGGAUUUUUUUAUUAGGUUAAAAUUAUCUUUUAAACACCUUCCGGAAUUUUAGAAUAUUCAUUAAUAAUGUCUUCAAACCUUUCAACUGAAAUAAAUUUACAGCUGAAGUCUGAUGAUUUAAAGUUAGAAAGUUUAAUCUUGAAUAUAAAUGAACAUUUUCUCUCCCACAUUUUCUUGGGCAUUUUGAGAAGUAAAUGCGUUAUUUAUUGGUCCAUGAAAUGUGACUGUAAAUAUUCUUUGCUAUACAUUAUGUCUAUAUAUCUGCAUUCAUCCUCAAUGCCAAAACUAGAAUCAUUAGUCUUAAUGAUCAUUUUAAGUACAGGCAGUCCUCGCUUUCCUUGAUACCAUGUUAACCGAAACUUGUGUAUGUCAACACGGUGUCCUUGCUUUGCUUGGUUAAGUGUGAGUUCUUCCUCCCUUUUUUUAAGAGUUGUACAAUGUUUUUCAGUCGCCUACCGAAUCAGGUCAUAGACUAUGGAAUUGACCCCACCCCACCAACAUUUUUACAGCUACCCUGAUUUCUGACCAGAAAGGAAAAAAAAACUUUCCAGCUCUAUCACACAUUUUACCUACUCUUAAACUUAGGAGGUAUUACAAAUAGCAUUUUCUCAUGUUCUCUUUCUGGCCUGUACCUCCCUGCUAAGCUUCCUUCAGUGUUCAUCCUCACCUCAUAGAGAGAUGAAGUGAAGAGACAAACAGAAGUCAUUUUCUUCCUUACUUUAGUGGUUUCUGGUUUAGUUAGUUUGGGCCAAACUGUGGACAAGUACCUUUUCAGGUAACUUUUUUUUCUUAUUUCUAUGUCCUCAACACCUAGUGGAGUACGUAGCCAAUAGUAGAUGCUUAAUAAACAUUUCUUAAAUUAAUAUUGUUGACCUUUUCUGACCCUGUUCUUGACAGUAAGGUACAUAAUCUGCCUUCAUCCCUUUAGUCCUUAGGAACAGAUAAAGUCAUGGAUAUGAAAGUGAUCACUGUCAUUAAUAUCCACAUUAAAAUUGCUCUUGAUUUUAGUUUCUCCAUAAUCAUUUUCCCUAAACAAUGAACUCUGUUCACCUUUUUUUUUAAAAUAUGCACAGUGAAUAUUACUGGUAGCCCAAAUCUUCUAACAUAAAAUUUCCAUUUUGUAAAAGCUUCUGAUAAGCAUAUAUGUUAUGAAUUGAAUGUUUGAUUAUUAUACUUUAAUAUUCUUGAAAAUAUUGAUACCUGGACUGGAAAGAAAACAGACAAAAGUAAAUCUCAGAAUAAAUUACUGCUUUAAACAUGAU